GUCCAGGGGCGGGAAUCGAACCCAUAACCUUCUGCUUACCGGGCAGGUGCCAUGUCCACUAGGCUACCCUGGA